rnacentral:tRNA from 1 species
CGGGGUUUGGCGCAGUUGGUAGCGCGCGCGCUUUGGGAGCGUGAGGUCAGCAGUUCGAGUCUGCUAACCCCGACCA